rnacentral:tRNA from 1 species
GGAGGUGUAGCUCAGUGGUAGAGCACUUGCCUGCCGUGUACAAGGCCUGGGGUUCAAUGCCCAGCACUGCCA